rnacentral:rRNA from 1 species
GAUGAACGCUGGCGGCGUGCCUAAUACAUGCAAGUCUAGCGAAUGGAUUAAGAGCUCGCUCUUAUGAAGUUAGCGGCGGACGGGUGAGUAACACGUGGGUAACCUGCCCAUAAGACUGGGAUAACUCCGGGAAACCGGGGCUAAUACCGGAUAAUAUUUUGAACUGCAUGGUUCAAAAUUGAAAGGCGGCUUCGGCUGUCACUUAUGGAUGGACCCGCGUCGCAUUAGCUAGUUGGUGAGGUAACGGCUCACCAAGGCAACGAUGCGUAGCCGGCCUGAGAGGGUGAUGGGCCACACUGGGACCGAGACACGGCCCAGACUCCUACGGGAGGCAGCAGUAGGGAAUCUUCCGCAAUGGACGAAAGUCUGACGGAGCAACGCCGCGUGAGUGAUGAAGGCUUUCGGGUCGUAAAACUCUGUUGUUAGGGAAGAACAAGUGCUAGUUGAAUAAGCUGGCACCUUGACGGUACCUAACCAGAAAGCCACGGCUAACUACGUGCCAGCCGCCGCCGUAA